rnacentral:rRNA from 1 species
GUUUGAUCCUGGCUCAGGAUGAACGCUGGCGGCAGGCCUAAUACAUGCAAGUCGAACGGGAUCUUGAGUAGCAAUACUUGAGUGAGAGUGGCGCACGGGUGCGUAACACGUAUGCAACCUACCUUUAACUGGUACAUAACAUUUCGAAAGGGGUGCUAAUAUACCAUGUGAUUAUUGAGAGGCAUCUUUUGAUAAUUAAAGAUUAAUUGGUUAAAGCUGGGCAUGCGUCCCAUUAGCUAGUUGGUGAGGUAACGGCUCCCCAAGGCGACGAUGGGUAGGGGUUCUGAGAGGAUGAUCCCCCACACUGGUACUGAGACACGGACCAGACUCCUACGGGAGGCAGCAGUAAGGAAUAUUGGUCAAUGGGCGGAAGCCUGAACCAGCCAUGCCGCGUGCAGGAAGACGGCCCUAUGGGUUGUAAACUGCUUUUGUCAGGGGAUAAACCUAUCUACGCGUAGAUAGCUGAAGGUACCUGAAGAAUAAGGAUCGGCUAACUCCGUGCCAGCAGCCGCGGUAAUACGGAGGAUCCGAGCGUUAUCCGGAUUUAUUGGGUUUAAGGGUGCGCAGGCGGACUGGUAAGUCACGGGUGAAAAUCUACGGCUCAACUGUAGACGUGCCUUUGAUACUGCCGGACUAGAGUUAAGAUGGAGUGGGCGGAAUGUGUUGUGUAGCGGUGAAAUGCUUAGAUAUAACACAGAACACCGAUCGCGAAGCAGCUCACUAAACUUUGACUGACGCUCAUGCACGAAAGCGUGGGGAUCAAACAGAUUAGAUACCCUGGUAGUCCACGCUGUAAACGAUGAUCACUCGCUGUUGGCGAUAUACGUCAGUGGCUAGCGAAAGUGAUAGUUGAUCACUGGGGGAGUACGAACGGCAGUGGAAACUCAAUGAUGACUGGGCUGCAACGAGACCAUGUGGAUUAAUUCGAUGA